GUUUGAGCCAUCACACCCGGCCUGGCAUUUUCAAUACGAACUUGGGGCUUGGGAUGGAUAGAAAGGACAUGGAGACAUCAUUCUGCAUCACCUCCUCUGUGUUCUCUGCUCCUUGUCCUUCUAGUGGGAAAAGGGAGAGGACAAGGAAGGGACAUUCCAAAGUGACUUGAGUCCUUUGGGCCCUGGGAGUGGGAAAUUAAAGAGAUGCACUGUAACCUUUCUUCCCUACUCCCUUAGCUGAGCCCAAAUGCAAUUCUGCCUUUGGGCAAGGGUGUGUACCAGGCAGGGUAACAGUUGAGGGCAUCAAUAAUGCCACUAUAGGCAGAGGAAUGACAAAAACUAGCAUUUACCAAGCACUUACCAUGCACCGGAACACUGUAGCUUCCUAUAUAAUCCAUCUAAUAAUCAACCAAUAAUAGUAUUGCUGACUGUGAGGUCAGUACUGUGGUUACUGCAAGUAUAAAGAUGAGGACGUAGAAGAACAGAGAAAUUAAGUAACUCAUCCAAACUCUCCCGCCUGGUGAUUAGUGGAGCAAAGGAUGGCAUCUGGGCCCAGUGUUUCCACUCCUCCCCACCACUCUGAUUGCCUCUGUGGCAAACACUCUCAGUUGCCUUCCCGAUAUCCAUUAUUUUCUUCCUUAGUGUCAGGACCUUGGACAACAUGCCCAGGUGAUAAACUAGUUUCCAGUCUCCUUUGCCAUUAGAUAUAGUCAAUUAAGUGGAAACUCUUUGGCUGUUUCUCUUUUCUCCUGCUUGGAAUAUAAACAUGAUGACUGGAGCUCCAGCAGCCACUGUGAAGCCAUGGUGUGGAUGGAAGCCACGUGCUGAGGAUGGUGGAACAGAGGCAAAAAGGAUCCUGGGAGCUCUCAGAUCAGCUCUGGGCUGCCUUAUUCCGGACUCUUUCUUUUUUUUCUCAGAAAUGUCUUCAACCUAGUCAUGGAACAAGCCCUAGAGUGGGAACCCUGAAGCUGGGUUGUAGCUGUGGGGCCCUGGCAGAGCACUAGGCCUCCCUUCUUUCUGUUUCUCAGUGAGAUGAGUGGAAAGGCUGCCUCCUGCUCCAGCAUCAGAUGAGAUGUGCAGGGAACUGUGGACUGCCUGUGUGUAGCGGCACAAGUGCACAUCGAGCCCUCCACUGUGUGGAGCGCUGUUUCCCCCAACACACCCAGUCACCCUGUGAGGUUGGCAACAGGGUUGGCACCAUUAGCUCCUCCAUUUUGUAGCUGAGAAACUGAAGCUCAGAGAGUAACUUUCCCUAAGUCACAUGCUAGUAAGUGCCUGGCAGAGGUUUGUACCAAGGCUCACUCAUGCCUAAUCGUGAUGAGGUGGUCAUCUCCUAAAUGUCAUUACAGUUUGCAU
rnacentral:lncRNA from 1 species